rnacentral:rRNA from 1 species
UGAGAGUUGGAAUACCCGAAGCCUGUGAGCUAACUUAAAGAGGCAGCAGUCGAAGGUAGAGCCAAUGAUUGGGGUGAAGUCGUAACAAGGUAAC